AUACAUGCAGUCGAGCGAAUGGAUUAAGUAAGCUUGCUUCCUUAUGAAGUUUAGCGGCGGACGGGUGAAGUAACACGUGGGUAACCUGCCCAUAAGACUGGGAUAACUCCGGGAAACCGGGGCUAAUACCGGAUAACAUUUUGAACCGCAUGGUUCGAAAUUGAAAGGCGGCUUCGGCUGUCACUUAUGGAUGGACCCGCGUCGCAUUAGCUAGUUGGUGAGGUAACGGCUCACCAAGGCAACGAUGCGUAGCCGACCUGAGAGGGUGAUCGGCCACACUGGGACUGAGACACGGCCCAGACUCCUACGGGAGGCAGCAGUAGGGAAUCUUCCGCAAUGGACGAAAGUCUGACGGAGCAACGCCGCGUGAGUGAUGAAGGCUUUCGGGUCGUAAAACUCUGUUGUUAGGGAAGAACAAGUGCUAGUUGAAUAAGCUGGCACCUUGACGGUACCUAACCAGAAAGCCACGGCUAACUACGUGCCAGCAGCCGCGGGUAAUACGUAGGUGGCAAGCGUUAUCCGGAAUUAUUGGGCGUAAAGCGCGCGCAGUGGUUUCUUAAGUCUGAUGUGAAAGCCCACGGCUCAACCGUGGAGGGUCAUUGGAAAACUGGGAGACUUGAGUGCAGAAGAGGAAAGU
rnacentral:rRNA from 1 species